UGUUCAGAAUCAAAUGAAAACCUAAGGAGAGAACACCUAAGCUCAUGGGGUCUCUGCUCAUCAGAGCUAUUAAUCUGACCUCUCCAUGUGGUCUUCUAGGAGCAGCAAGUGUUUUUAUAAAGUCUUUUUACACAAGAACAGCAAAGUGAUUUCUCUACGCUCCAGCAUUGGUGAGAGGGUCUGGAGAAAAGAAGAAAACUGGGAAGAGGGCUUGUAUUCCUGCUCCAAGAUACUCAGUGAAAGCGGCCCUGCAUGUAAAAAUUAAUGAAAGUCCUACAAAAGAAGCGAGCUUUGCAACAGUUGGCUCUGAGUCAUCAGUAGAACAAUGUUCACAAAAGUGGAAGCAGACAGUAUCCUAUUCACCCAGGAGAUGUUGACACUAUGGACAGAAUUCAGCCUAUGUCUUGUGGUGUAUUGAGAAAGCCUCCCUUCAUUGUUGCUGAUUUCAAACAUUUGUCAUCACAGGCAAAGGAGGACACUGACAGGAAUGCCAUCAUGUGCUACACCUUGGAUGCUGCCUGCUCUCACUGUAUUCCUGCAGUUUAGAAAUACAGCCUGGGGGAGUUACCUUUUUGUAGCAGUUUCUUGGUCAUCUUGACAGCUAACUGUGUGUUGCCAGCAAAGAAGACAUGAUGAAAAGAAAUUCUUAUGUCUGAUUUCUGUUGAUGUUGCAGAGUGUGCAGCAUUCCCAAAUGCUGGAUGGAGCAAGAUGAUUUGCAUGUCAUAUCUUGAAGCUUUUACAUAGAGGAAAGCAAAUCUCUGGCAUUCAGUUCUGUAGACUGUUAUUUUUUACACUUAAGGGAUCUAAUUUCCAAUUAAUGUUUGGAUGAUUAAACAUACAAAAUGGUGUAUCCUGUAUUUGGCAUCCAUAUAUUACCUCUGAGGGUUUUCCUAUACUUACAGAUAUCCCAACCAUUUGCACUGCAGCAGAAAACUUGGUAUUGCCUACUCUUACACUAAAACGUCUCAAUGCAUUUGGCCAGCUCUACUAAAAAUGAGUUAAAAUUAACUUCAUUUUCCAGAUCUUAAAAUAAAUAAAUAAAUAAAUAAUAGCCCUCACGGUCUAUUUGUUCUUGAGUAACCUAAGUUGACUUACUUUUUAUUGACAGCUCUACCUGUAUAGCUAAAACUCUUCCAAACCAGCUGGCUAAUGCCUGUGAAAAGCUCUGCAUUGUGAAAGACCAGGUGUAACCAAUGACCCACCCAUCUGCCCCAACAUCUGUGUGACAGCAGUGGAAAAAUAGUUCUGCUGAACACCAGAGCACAAUCCUCUGAUGAAUAACUGCGGCCACACUGAUACCACAGUGACAAAGAGACUUCAGUGUGGGCUCAGUACUUGCCCUGUUUGCCAUUUCAUCAGCCUGCCACCUCCAAGAUGGAUACUUGCAUAAGUGGGCCUGGCAGGAUGCCUGCAAGCCUCUGGAGUGCUCUUGUUGUGCGUGAGGCCGUCCUCGCAGAGUUUCCAUGGAAAAUAGAGGCCAGCAGCCUGCAGCAGCCCACAGAUGUGUAUCCAACUUGAAGGGCUGCAUUCUCAGGUUGAUGUGCACAACUUCUAGGGUAAAAUAAACCUGUAUGGCCUUCACUGAGUGGGAGCCAAGCACCUGACUGUCACACAUAGCUUGCAAGUGUGAUUAGGAGAAGCACUAAUGGAAACCUUCCUCAUUCCUGUCACUAUCCUGUCUACCUCAUGUUCCCUGUGAUAAGAAUAAUGGAUUUUCUAAUGGCAUUAGUAAUUUUAUUUUAUU